UACGUAGGGUGCAAGCGUUGUCCGGAAUUAUUGGGCGUAAAGAGCUUGUAGGCGGUUUGUCGCGUCUGCCGUGAAAUUUCGAGGCUCAACCUCGAACUUGCGGUGGGUACGGGCAGACUAGAGUGUGGUAGGGGAGACUGGAAUUCCUGGUGUAGCGGUGAAAUGCGCAGAUAUCAGGAGGAACACCGAUGGCGAAGGCGGAUCUCUGGGCCAUAACUGACGCUGAGGAGCGAAAAGCGUGGGGGAGCGAACAGG
rnacentral:rRNA from 1 species